GAGAUUUCAAAACGUUUAUAAUCAUGACUAGAGAGUCUGUCAACGAAUACAGCAUAGAGCUGCUGUUUUUAUGACGCUACAACAAGCAGUGCAUCAGUAGUGAAUGAGAGGGGUGCGUCACUUGAGUGGGUUGAGUCACUGACGUGGUCUUCCUGUCUGGGUUGGCGUCCCCCCUUGGGUUGUGCCGUGGUGGAGAUCUUUGUGGGCUAUACUCAGCCUUGUCUCAGGAUGGUAAGUUGGUGGUUGAAGAUAUCCCUCUAGUGGUGUGGGGGCUGUGCUUUGGCAAAGUGGGAUCAUCGGAUGGGGCCACAGUGUCUCCUGACCCCUCCUGUCUCAGCCUCCAGUAUUCAUGCUGCAGUAGUUUAUGUGUCGGGGGGCUAGAGUCAGUCUGUUAUAUCUAGAGUAUUUCUCCUGUCUUAUCCGGUGCCCUGUGUGAAUUUAAGUAUGCUCUCUCUAAUUCUCUCCUUUCUUUCUUUCUUUCUUUCUUUCUUUCUUUCUUUCUUUCUUUCUUUCUUUCUUUCUUUCUUUCUUUCUCUCGGAGGACCUGAGCCCUAGGACCAUGCCUCAGGACUACCUGGCAUGAUGGCUCCUUGUUGUCCCCAGUCCACCUGGUUGUGCUGCUGCUCCAGUUUCAACUGUUCUGCCUGUGGCUUACGAACCCUGACCUGUUCACUGUGAUUACUAUUAUUUGACCAUGCUGGUCAUUUAUGAACAUCUUGGCCAUGUUCUGUUAUAAUCUCCACCCGGCACAGCCAGAAGAGGACUGGCCACCCCUCAUAGCCUGGUUCCUCUCUAGGUUUCUUCCUAGGUUUUUGCCUUUCUAGGGAGUUUUUCCUAGCCACCGUGCUUCUACACCUGCAUUGCUUGCUGUUUGGGGUUUUAGGCUGGGUUUCUGUACAGCACUUUGAGAUAUCAGCUGAUGUACGAAGGGCUAUAUAAAUAAAUUUGAUUUGAUUUGAUGAGAGGUAAAAAUCCUCUGCAUAGACUGCCACCAUUAUUACAAAUGUGAAUAGCUAAUUACGGAAAAUAAGAUUUAAAAAAAUAUCUAUAUUAAAAUGAUUGUUUAAUGGCUAUAUAAAAUACACAUUGAGGUGAGGGCGGUGGAAAUGCUUUUGAUCUACUUCUGUUCUGUAAAUGACACUGUGUGCUCUUUUCGAAGGAUGGGUCCUGGUUUUUCCGGGGCCUUGGGAUUCUGGGGGUUCGGGGG
ensembl:lncRNA